UACGAAGGGGGCUAGCGUUGUUCGGAAUUACUGGGCGUAAAGCGCACGUAGGCGGAUAUUUAAGUCAGGGGUGAAAUCCCGGGGCUCAACCCCGGAACUGCCUUUGAUACUGGGUAUCUCGAGUCCGGGAGAGGUGAGUGGAAUUCCGAGUGUAGAGGUGAAAUUCGUAGAUAUUCGGAGGAACACCAGUGGCGAAGGCGGCUCACUGGCUCGGUACUGACGCUGAGGUGCGAAAGCGUGGGGAGCAAACAGG
rnacentral:rRNA from 1 species